rnacentral:rRNA from 1 species
GAUGAACGCUGGCGGCGUGCUUAACACAUGCAAGUCGAACGGGAAUUAUUUUAUUGAAACUUCGGUCGAUUUAAUUUAAUUCUAGUGGCGGACGGGUGAGUAACGCGUGGGUAACCUGCCUUAUACAGGGGGAUAACAGUCAGAAAUGGCUGCUAAUACCGCAUAAGUGCACAGAGCUGCAUGGCUCAGUGUGAAAAACUCCGGUGGUAUAAGAUGGACCCGCGUUGGAUUAGCUGGUUGGUGGGGUAACGGCCCACCAAGGCGACGAUCCAUAGCCGGCCUGAGAGGGUGAACGGCCACAUUGGGACUGAGACACGGCCCAGACUCCUACGGGAGGCAGCAGUGGGGAAUAUUGCACAAUGGGGGAAACCCUGAUGCAGCGACGCCGCGUGAAGGAAGAAGUAUCUCGGUAUGUAAACUUCUAUCAGCAGGGAAGAUAGUGACGGUACCUGACUAAGAAGCCCCGGCUAACUACGUG